rnacentral:rRNA from 1 species
UACGUAGGGUGCAAGCGUUAAUCGGAAUUACUGGGCGUAAAGCGUGCGCAGGCGGUUCUAUAAGUCAGAUGUGAAAUCCCCGGGCUCAACCUGGGAACUGCAUUUGUGACUGUAGAGCUGGAGUACGGUAGAGGGGGAUGGAAUUCCGCGUGUAGCAGUGAAAUGCGUAGAUAUGCGGAGGAACACCGAUGGCGAAGGCAAUACCCUGGACCUGUACUGACGCUCAUGCACGAAAGCGUGGGGAGCAAACAGG